AAACGGCGGAACCGCGGACGUGGCGCUCAAUGACCACGGGCAGCUGCUUGGCAGCCGGCGCUGCUGGAACCGCGACGACGCAUUUCGAGAAGCUGGAAUAGCUGAAAUGGUUCACAGACUCCAAUCCAAGUGUACAGGUGUCAUCCCCCCCCAAAAGGGAGCACCUGAGAAUCCCUGAAGCCUCUGACCAAUACAGAAAAUGUUAUGCUGAGGGACAGAGCCAGUAGUUUCAACCAUAGCAGCAGCAGAAGCAAAAGAGAGAACCAGAUUUUGACCGGUCAGAGAGGUGAAGCAUCACCACUGUACAAAUAGGAUCCUCCAGGUUUUUCAAAAGAAGGGGAGGAACAGUUGUAUGUCAGCAGACUGAAGAGGUAUUUGGCAGAGUUUGAAUCAGCUCUAAAGUUGAGCAGUAGCCAAGAGCCGUCCUUCCAGCCCCACACUGUGCAGACCUGGGAGAAAGGAGGAAGUGGUCCUCAUCCUAAGGAAUUUAAACUGUGAGAAAAGUGGUGAUGAGAUACAAGUCAUGCUAAUUUCAAGUGUUAAUGAAGCAGAAUCCAUCCCGAUGUGAAGCAACCCGAGGAUGCUCUGUGACACAGCCAUAAUGGGACCAGACAUUAUGGUCUAUUGUGUUAAUAAUCUGUGAAUUAAAGCAUCCCCCAGCAAGCUGUUAAUGUGAUGGAUUGUAUCAGUGAUGUGCUGUUAAAGGGUCCCCAGUCAACCUUGACACAACAGGCCAGAGCGGUUUGGAAGGCCUGGCAGCUCCAUCAGACAGUUGGGCCGUGCCUGGUGCACAAGAUAAACCUGAUAGGAGAUCACGGGGAGCUUCAGAGGAGGCUGAGGAUGCUCAUCACAUUGCCAGGGAUGGGCCUGAGAGACCAAAAUGCUCAGAAUCCUCUUGACGAAGAAAAGCAGAAGUCUCAGCAUUAAAAAUAGAUGCUUUUUAUCUUGCAUAGGAUACAAAAUCUCUUCUGAUAGGACAUUUUUUUAUGAUAUUUUAGCAGCUCCAAGCAGUCUUGGAUUAGGCCUGUAUCACAACAGUAAUACACAGGAGGCUAUGUUUUGUCUUGCUAUGACACCAGCUACUAUUGUUUUUGAUCUGCAGCCUCUGAAGAGGGAUGCUGCAUCUUCGACGGAAGGUGUUAUGAGUGCAGAUUAGUUAGACAAGUGCUGGAGUGAAUGCAUAAGCAGUGAUUUUGCAUAAUGAGGUAUAGCCCUUAGAUACCCAAGGGCAGUAUGGACACAACUUAAAGAUGGAGCAGGUGCUCUGAUGCCUUCUUGAGAAGGAUCACAAACGCUUCCAAGGGAUGUCUCAGUCCCCAUCUUCUGCUGCAGAAUAAGGUUCAGAAGAAGUCGGAUAUCCCAGCAAGAUCACAGAAUCACAAGAGUUGGAAGGAACCUCAAGAGACUAUUGAAUCCAACCCCCCUGCUAAGGUCUGACCAACAGAAGGAGUGGCUGCAGUGCAUGCUGUGCCUUUAGUGCACUCCUCAACACGGCACCCAGAAAAUCAAAGUGUGGAAACUGACAGAAUAACCAUUGUGUCGCCCUUUAGCAACUAUCUGCUAAAACAUGGAGGUCGUUCUAUGAAGGUAUGUGUGACUGAAAGCUUAGUUCAAACCUUCCAGUGUGUGUGUUUGUGAUUAAGGACUGGUAUUUAGUAUAGUUCAAAUUGCAAGGACUCUUCUCGCCUCAGCGAUUUGUAUCUGCCAUAUUAAGAUGAACAUUUAGAACCUUAAUGUGAUGUCUGAAACGAUGAUUAAUUCACAGCAUUCAUCUUGGUUUGCUAAUCAUUCUGGUUUUAGCUGAUAUUUCUAUUUGUAAUCUCCACAGUUAAAUUGCCAUAAAAUAUCAUAGUUACAAAUACAUCAAUGAGCAGUUGAGAGGAUAUGACACAUAGUAAUUUAGCAAUUAAUGCACACAUAGAGAAGUAAAUUCAAGAGAAAGAUACUAAUACAGGUAUGUUACUGGGAAAACAAAGCAGGAUUAAAAAAAUCCCAAAAAGCUGCAAACUGGGCAAUAAGUGCCUAUGAGCAUUGCAACUCUAUCACCAAAUGGCAGUCUGAAGAUACAGAAUCAUUACAGUUGGAAAAGACCACCGAAUGCAACCAUCAACCCACCCCACCAUGCCCACUGACCAUGUCCAUCACUGCCACAUCCCCGUGGUUCCUGGGCACCUCCAGGGAUGGUGACCUCACCACCUCCCUGGGCAGCUAUGCCACUGCAGCCCUGCUCUUCCAGCCCAGUGUCUCUGAACAAAGAGUAACAAAGGGUGCAGAAAUGGUGCUGAGCACCAGUGGUACCAGCUGGAAAGGAUCCUCAGUCCAUGCCUGAUUAAGCUCUGCUUUGCCAUCUCUCAUAGUGUGGACAGCUAGAAAAUGUCCCCCACUUAAUAACACUUGGACUCAAUGCAUCCACUGCAGAGGCACCGGGGAGCUCCAGGAUAACAUAAUUACAUCCCAACAGUAUUAUAGGAAGGGCAAAGAAUAUGUGCAUCUGCAGACAAUAUAGAAUAAAAGGCUUUUCUUCAAACAGCAAGCAGAAGCUUAAAAGGGGGUGGGGAGAUGCUGAAAUAAUCACAAUAAUUGCACAGAUUUCGAUGCACUCAACAUGUGGUGAAGUUUGUGGUAGAGUUGGUUUAUUUGUUUAAACCUGGCUAAUUUAUCUCCUGCAAAUGAUGGCCAUGAUGAACUGCAUUAAUAUGAUUAUCCUUUUCAGAUCACUGUAAUGCAUGAAGGAGAAACUUAGAGCUAUGUUUUCCUUUUGUUGGCUAUUAAUUGCCCAUGUAGCUCUACCUGGGUGCACAGGGAGAGAUCCAUUUCUUUCAUGGCACACAGAAGCAUAAAUUACAUGAAAUUGAGGAUUUCUUUUCCCACUCCGUGCAGGCAAUGCUUUGUUUGGUGUUUAUUCUUCAUAGAAAAUAUUUAGUCAUUAAUCUUACACAAUACAGUUGGGGAUUUUGAAAUAAGGGAAUUAAGAGUUCAACCACACUUUCUUUGAAGGAUUCUUUUUACAAGGUAUAGUGAGUCCCGUGCCAAAAUCAUGUAUAGCAAUGAAGAGAUGAGCUGAAAGUGGUAGAGGUAGAGCAAGAGUGACUUUUUGGUUCUACUGAACUGUCUUGGGAAGUUACAACUUAUUAUAGAACGGGAAGAGAUUGGAGGAUGACAUGAUAAUAUGAGAUAGAGCCUGUUUCUUAAUGGAUUGCAGUGCUUAAUGGGAUUCUGACUUGCAAACAUACUCAUUUCCUUUCUCAACACCCUUCAUGAAAAUGCACGUGUCAAUAUGGGUCACUGCUGUCACCCUGCUUUCAUUCAACCAUCCAUUCUAAAUAAUAAUGAACAUUUAAAAACUAGCAGAGAUUUUUUAAUUAGCUCAGUCCCUUGGGCACAACUAUAUUGCAUACCUUAAGUUCCACAAUUCUCUUAUGUUCUAGCCUUACCUUGAUAGUACAUAUGCUGCCAUUCACGAGGGGUUUAAAAUUUGGCCAAUUUAAUUUCUACCCAUAGAUUUUGUUGUAGAAUAGUAAGUGCAUUUUGAUUUGAUCCCCUACAAUGAGAACAACUGUUCACUUUUUAAAAAUUUGUUAAUUUUCUGCAAGCAUAUUACCUCUGAUAGGACCCGUCUUAGGUGUCUUCUGUGCCACUAAGUCAUACAGGAGUAAGUUCUAGAUAUCUUCAAAGUAAAUAACCUUCGUGUUUCACCAUUUUUUGCUUCAGCAGCCUUCCUUCUAUCUGAGUGAGAGGUAACCAGUUUUGGGUAGCAGGAUUUUUACCUGCCCUAAUCAGCCCAAGAAUGGGUGAUCCUUCUACCUAUAGCUCUUCCUUGGCGACUGCAUACACAUACCCUCAGCCUCUCCCCAUCAAACAGAUUGCAACAAGUGUCAGGACUACAGGGUUUUCGUAUACUCCAUGAUCAUCGGAACACCUUGCAGGGAGUGCGCAGCGAGGAGUACACCUGAUUGAAUGGUAGAGGCAAUGACAUUUUAUAUAUAUAUA
rnacentral:lncRNA from 1 species